UACCCCACUAUGCUUAGCCCUAAACCUAGAUAGUUAACCCAAACAAAACUAUCCGCCAGAGAACUACUAGCAACAGCUUAAAACUCAAAGGACUUGGCGGUGCUUUACAUCCCUCUAGAGGAGCCUGUUCUAUAAUCGAUAAACCCCGAUAAACCUCACCAUCUCUUGCUAAUUCAGCCUAUAUACCGCCAUCUUCAGCAAACCCUAAAAAGGAAGAAAAGUAAGCACAAGUGUCUUAACACAAAAAAGUUAGGUCAAGGUGUAGCCUAUGAGAUGGGAAGCAAUGGGCUACAUUUUCUACAAUUAGAACACCCACGAAAAUCCUUA
rnacentral:rRNA from 1 species